CCUACGGGAGGCAGCAGGGGGAAUAUUGGACAAUGGGCGAAAGCCUGAUCCAGCAAUGCCGCGUGAGUGAUGAAGGCCUUAGGGUUGUAAAGCUCUUUUACCCGGGAUGAUAAUGACAGUACCGGGAGAAUAAGCUCCGGCUAACUCCGUGCCAGCAGCCGCGGUAAUACGGAGGGAGCUAGCGUUGUUCGGAAUUACUGGGCGUAAAGCGUACGUAGGCGGUUAUUCAAGUCAGAGGUGAAAGCCCGGGGCUCAACCCCGGAACGGCCUUUGAAACUAGGUAGCUAGAGUCUUGGAGAGGUUAGUGGAAUUCCGAGUGUAGAGGUGAAAUUCGUAGAUAUUCGGAAGAACACCAGUGGCGAAGGCGACUAACUGGACAAGUACUGACGCUGAGGUACGAAAGCGUGGGGAGCAAACAGGAUUAGAUACCCUGGUAGUCCACGCCGUAAACGAUGACUAACUAGCUGGUCCGGGCACGUUGGUGUCGUUGGGUUGGUCGGCGACGCGUACGACGACUUAAGUUAACUUACCGUCCGUCGGGUAGGUACGGUCGGUCGAGAAUAAACUAACUAAUAGAGUAGACGGCGUGAGACGUGUCCGACGGACGACGACGAGGGAGGUUAGG
rnacentral:rRNA from 1 species